rnacentral:rRNA from 1 species
CCUACGGGAGGCAGCAGUGGGGGAUAUUGCACAAUGGGGGGAACCCUGAUGCAGCGACGCCGCGUGGGUGAAGAAGCGCCUCGGCGCGUAAAGCCCUGUCAGCAGGGAAGAAAAUGACGGUACCUGACCAAGAAGCCCCGGCUAACUACGUGCCAGCAGCCGCGGUAAUACGGAGGGGGCAAGCGUUAUCCGGAUUUACUGGGUGUUAAGGGAGCGUAGACGGGAGGGCAAGUCUGGAGUGAAAGGCGGGGGGUCAACCCCCGGACUGCUCUGGAAACUGCCAGGCUGGAGUGCAGGAGAGGUAAGUGGAAGUCCUAGUGUAGCGGUGAAAUGCGUAGAUAUUAGGAGGAACACCAGUGGCGAAGGCGGCUUACUGGACUGUAACUGACGUUGAGGCUCGAAAGCGUGGGGAGCAAACAGGAUUAGAUACCCUGGUAGUC